rnacentral:rRNA from 1 species
GCAAGUCGAGGGGUAACGGGGAGCUUGCUCCGCCGACGACCGGCGCACGGGUGCGUAACGCGUAUACAAUCUACCUUUUGCUGAGGGAUAGCCCAGAGAAAUUUGGAUUAAUACCUCAUGGUAUUAUUGAUAGGCAUCUAUUAAUAAUUAAAGGUUACGGCAAAAGAUGAGUAUGCGUCCCAUUAGCUAGUUGGUGAAGUAACGGUUCACCAAGGCAACGAUGGGUAGGGGUCCUGAGAGGGAGAUC